CUGAAAGAACGUGCUAUGCUUUGGUGUUGUUAUAGGUUCCAGAGGGGGCUAAGAGGAAGCCAUUGGCGCUCAUCAAGAAGUUGCACAAGGCGGUUUAUACAGCGUGGCAUAGCACAUGUACUAUAUUCUUGAGCUAUCAUCUUCUGGUUCUGGAUGUAUGGUUGCGCCAGUAUUGACGUUGAAGGAAUGGGAGAGAAGGACAAGCUCGUUCUUGGGCUACUGCUAGGUUGUUUGAUGCGUUUGUGCUCGUCAGCGGGACGGUGCAAGGCGCAAUUCCGACGAGGUUGCUCGCCGGUUGGACGGCGUUCAGGCGCAACCCGGGCACGCACUAAGUACUGCCUCGGCUACAACCUCCCUCGCUGAGCUCCAUCUUCCUCCUGCUCCUCUACUUUGGCUACUGUAUGGGACAUGUCCAUGGCUAUAUUGAUCCAGAAAUAAGAAACGGAGCACCUUACUUGGCUCCUCAGAGCUCAGACACUUUCAGCCGUCGAUAGAUUUCCUGAUGCGUUUUCAGCUGUCCGAUCCUCCUCCCCAACGCUCUUGG